rnacentral:rRNA from 1 species
GACAGAGGGUGCAAACGUUGCUCGGAAUCACUGGGCGUAAAGGGCGUGUAGGCGGGAAGGAAAGUCGGGCGUGAAAUCCCUGGGCUCAACCCCAGGAACUGCACUCGAAACUUCUUUUCUUGAGUGCCGGAGAGGAAAGCGGAAUACCUGGUGUAGAGGUGAAAUUCGUAGAUAUCAGGUGGAACACCAGUGGCGAAGGCGGCUUUCUGGACGGUAACUGACGCUGGAGACGCGAAAAGCGUUGGGGAGCAAACAGG